ACAGAACCUGAAUCUGAGUGCAUGCAUGACAUUAAAGGUUUGCUGCUCGAUCACUCUGAUGCUAUGAUUACAUCCCCCUCACAUCUAUUCACUUAGUUAAACAUGCAUUUGUAGGUGAUUUACUUGCCAGAGGGUGUGACCAAGUUUUCUCAUGUGAAGUAUCUACAGCUGAGAUUGUAUUUCUCUGGUCAGGAAAAUCUCCUCUCCUUGGCUUCUUUUCUCAAAGCUGCCCCUCUACUAGAAGAGUUAGAUAUACAUUUUCUGCGCCGCUCCUUUCCGCUGAAUGACUUUGAGAAGUUACCUAUCAGGAGCCUUCCUCCGUGUCGCCAUGGUCAUCUAAAGAGGGUGCUCAUCACAGGGUUCCAUGGGGCCCGUGGUGAGAUUGAACUUGCAGCUCAUGUUGCAGAUAACUCCAGCAGGCUUCAGGCAUUGGUCAUAGAUCCAGUCAUGAGAGAUGUGGAUAGGAAUAUGUUUACUUCAACGCCGGAGGGAAGAGCUAUGUACUGGGAUCUUGCCCGUGAGAAUGCUAAGAAGUACCUUGCCAGGAGAGUCGCACAUGGUGCACGGUUUGAUGUUCUGUGAUGAUGAUUGAAUGUUGUAGAUGAGGUUGCAACGAUGAUGCAUUACUGUGUAGGGGCUUCGUUUUAGGAAUAAUUCUACAACCUCCUGUCCGAAUUAAUUGACGCAGUUUCUGUACAAUGUGUAGAGGACAUUGUAUUAGUUGAUGCUAUCAAUGUGUAGGGGGACAUUGUAUUAGUUGAUGCUAUCAAUGUGUAGAGGACUUUGCAUCUUGUAUAAACUAUGGUUUCAUUUCA